AUGACCCACCCUAGGCACUCAGUUGACUUUGAGCCUAUGAAGCGAGACACAGUGAUUGCCCAGAGACCCAGCUCUACCCCACACCCUAUUGUGCAGUCACAGAAUUCCCACAGUCAUAAUGUGCUGGGCUCCCACAGUCCCAGGAAGCAGGGGAUCCACCCUCAGCCCCGAGAGCCUGCUCUGUCCACAGAGGAAGCCGUGACAUUCUCAGAGCCAGCUGUCUGUCAGUACCACCUUGGCAGUGUGAGCCUGAGAGCCUGUGAUAGAGUGGGAGGAAGGGAGCACCUCACAGGCUCAAGUGGGCACCCUGUCUCCUGCCAACAGUCUGGGCCAGACUCAAGAUGCAAAAUGGUUUCCACAUUCCCAAAUAGGGAAUCUACAUCCCAGAAAGGAAUAAACAGAGGGAUGGCACUGGCCCUCUUCUGCUUGAAUCUCAAUAGACAGAAUUCUUUCACUUGACUGCUACUAAGAGGCUCUUGAAGUAUUUGCCAAUAUUAUCCUCAAAUUCCAC
rnacentral:lncRNA from 1 species